rnacentral:rRNA from 1 species
UGAGGAAUAUUGGUCAAUGGACGGAAGUCUGAACCAUCCAUGCCGCGUGAAGGAUGAAGGCGUUCUGCGUUGUAAACUUCUUUUAUCUGGGAAGAAACCACAGAUUUCUAUUUGUGUUGACGGUACCAGCGGAAUAAGCACCGGCUAACUCCGUGCCAGCAGCCGCGAUCAUACGGAGGGUGCGAGCGUUAUCCGGAUUUACUGGGUUUAAAGGGUGCGUAGCCGGGCUAUUAAGUCAGAGGUGAAAUCUCCGGGCUCAACCUGGAAACUGCCUUUGAUACUAUUAGCCUUGAAUUAUGUUGAGGUUGGCGGAAUAUAACAUGUAGCGGUGAAAUGCUUAGAUAUGUUAUGGAACACCGAUUGCGAAGGCAGCUGGCUAAACAUAUAUUGACGCUGAUGCACGAAAGCGUGGGUAGCGAACA